rnacentral:sRNA from 1 species
GCGCGGCCUCCGCCGAGUCCGGCCCGCCACGACGGCAGCCGGAGCCGGGGACCCACCGAGAUCCUUGGGGUGAAUCGGCCCGACCUCCCGCGGGGGACACGGCCGUAGGGCAACCCUUCCGACCGACCGCCCGAACCCGACAGCUAACCCGGUAGGCGGACCGUGGAAGGAGUC